UGGGGAAUAUUGCACAAUGGGCGCAAGCCUGAUGCAGCCAUGCCGCGUGUGUGAAGAAGGCCUUCGGGUUGUAAAGCACUUUCAGCGAGGAGGAAGGUGGUGGACUUAAUACGUUCAUCAAUUGACGUUACUCGCAGAAGAAGCACCGGCUAACUCCGUGCCAGCAGCCGCGGUAAUACGGAGGGUGCAAGCGUUAAUCGGAAUUACUGGGCGUAAAGCGCACGCAGGCGGUUUGUUAAGUCAGAUGUGAAAUCCCCGGGCUCAACCUGGGAACUGCAUUUGAAACUGGCAAGCUAGAGUCUCGUAGAGGGGGGUAGAAUUCCAGGUGUAGCGGUGAAAUGCGUAGAGAUCUGGAGGAAUACCGGUGGCGAGGGCGGCCCCCUGGACGAAGACUGACGCUCAGGUGCGAAAAGCGUGGGGAGCAAAACAGGAUUAGAUACCCUGGUAGUCCACGCUGUAAAACGAUGUCGAUUUUGGAGGUUGUGCCCUUGAGGCGUGGCUUCCGGAGCUAACGCGUUAAAUCGACCGCCUGGGGGAGUACGG
rnacentral:rRNA from 1 species